rnacentral:ncRNA from 1 species
CAUGCAGAACCAGCGAUCGGUUUCGCGUGUGCAGAAGCACCGCGAAAGUAAUAGGGAACCCGGUGAGGUGUAGCCAACAGGCGCCAAAACCGAGACUGCCCCCGCAACUGUGAGCGGCGAGCGAAGCUGAACAUGCCACUGGGUCCGCCCGGGAAGGCCAGCCAAGCAAAGACCCGCAAGUCAGGAGACCUGCCGGACGCUGGGCAUUUGCC